rnacentral:rRNA from 1 species
UACGAAGGGUGCAAGCGUUAAUCGGAAUUACUGGGCGUAAAGGGUGCGUAGGCGGUUAUUUAAGUCUGCCGUGAAAUCCCCGGGCUCAACCUGGGAAUGGCGGUGGAUACUGGAUAGCUAGAGUGUGUCAGAGGAUGGUGGAAUUCCCGGUGUAGCGGUGAAAUGCGUAGAGAUCGGGAGGAACAUCAGUGGCGAAGGCGGCCAUCUGGGACAACACUGACGCUCAUGCACGAAAGCGUGGGGAGCAAACAGG